GCAAGACUUUAAGGACUCAAGGCCCGAGUCAUGCUGAAACAUAAAGUAUCCUUGGCGCUCUCUCAUUCGUCUCCUUUGGUCCGCCGGAUGUUGGCCCGACUCUUCCCCUGCAGACUCGCGUUCUGGCUCCUCCUGCUGGUGGUUUCCUGACAGUAGUUUUUCCACCAACUGCCUCUGAGUCCUGUCGUCUCCGCAUCCUCCUUGCAGUUAGCACCGUCUAAAACAUUCCAUUCUUGCACCACAUACCCUGUUUCGUUCCACCAGUCACACGCUCAGCACUUUACAGUCUCACACUUUCAUACACAGGAUGCAGCAACAUCUAAUGAACUACUUUAAGCUCAAACUCUUAUAUUCCUUUAUUAUGAAAAAAAAAAGACUGUUCACCAUCAUGAUGGCAAAUCCAAUUGAAUUACAUUUACGAUUAAGGGUUGGAAGUCUCAACGCCUGCAAGAAGAUUAAUCUAACGUAUGAAACAGACUACAAAGCCAUCAGCAAAACCGUCCAGCACUAAAAGUUGCAUCAAUUCAGAGGAUAUACAACUGGCCGCACCCAUCUUUGGACCUCCCCUUGGUUUCUCCCGAAGGCGAAGGUCCUCUUGGAAAGAUGGAGAUCCGACAUACAUUGAUGCAAUUCGCAUCCCACAAGGCGUACCAGAUGAGUAUAAUUUGGCUAACCAGAUUGCUGCAGGAUGGGAAUCCAUCUUGUUAUGGCUAACCCAUAAUAAAAACGUUGACAGAAUCAACUACAUACAUUACAAUGUAGAGAACCUCGGCAAGUAUACAAAACCAGGCUUUAUUCCCAUCAGGGAACAACCACCUAGAACCUCACUCAUUGCGUUGCAGAACCGCAUAGCGGUCGACAUACUCUUGGCCAAGAAGGGUGGUGUCUGCUCAUUGUUCGGUGACCAGUGUUGCUUAUUCCAAAUAUCACAGCACCUGAUGGGUCUCUCACAAGAGCCAUUCAAGGCGUCCGCACUUUGAACCACAAGAUGAAGGAGCACUCUGGUGUGAACACAUAAGCCUGGUCUAAGCGGUGGAAAAAAAAAAAAAAGUUUGGCAAAUCUAAAAAACUUGAUGUUCUCUGUCCUAGUUUCUAUAGCUGUGUUUGCACCUACUCUUACAUUGUGUGGAUAUUCUUGUAUUCCCUGCAUAAGGGCAUCACUUAACCGACUUAUAACCACUGCUAUUACCCCGACAAAUUCAAAAUUGUCAGAAAUAUAUCCACUAUUGGCACAACAGGGUAAUGACAGUGAUAUUGUUGACCCCCAUUAUGACGUUAUGACUUGUCUUCCAGACCUGUUCUCUGAUGCAGACGAUUCCAAGUAAUUAGUGCUAUAUUUUCCUCUUAGUGUAACUAUGUUUGUUUUAAUAAAUGUGAUUCUGUAGAAUGAAGCCGAAAAGAUGGUCUAUUAGAUGAUGUGAGGAUUUGAGCAAAUAUAGGAUAAACAGGAUAAUGUAGAUAUAAAUAUAAUUAACUGCUUCUGCCUGCAAUGAAGAAAUGCUUUGCUCUGCUCCAAUUCAGUUACUGUUCCUACCUGCAAUGAAGAAUGCUUUGCUCUGCUCUAGAAAACGUGGUAGCAAAUGUAGGAUAAACAGGGGGGAAAUGUAGGAAUUAAUAUAAUUACCAUACAUCUGCUUCCAAUAAAGAAAUGCUUUGCUCUUCUCUUGAUAAUGUGACAGCCGCCGAGCAGGAGAUAACAAGAACAGAAACAUCUAAUCAUCAAAACUGUAAGAACCAGGAGCACCUCCUGCCUGUUAAAGAAAUGACCACACAUGUAUUCAGCAAUCUUCCACACACAUCCACACAUACAUGAACAAACAAGUCCACGUUGUUUCCAACUAUGUUUUGCUUGCCAUCUCCUUUUUGUAACAUCCAUGUAAAUAAGGGGCGUCUUGAAACUAAAUAAAUAGUGGUGCUCAGGAGAGGAUAAUCAGAGAGUGGGGUGGCGAAUUGUACGAGACAGUUCCUCUCCUCAUGAGCUGUCAAACUUGAA